rnacentral:rRNA from 1 species
ACUGUUAGGCUUGGGACCGGGAGAGGUGGGAGGUACUCCAGGGGUAGGGGUGAAAUCUCGUAAUCCUUGGGGGACCACCGAUGGCGAAGGCAUCCCACCAGAACGGGUCCGACGGUGAGGGACGAAAGCUGGGGGCACGAACCGGAUUAGAUACCCGGGUAGUCCCAGCUGUAAACGAUGCUCGCUAGGUGUCAGGUGCGGUGCGACCGCAUCUGGUGCCGCAGUGAAAACUUGAAGCGAGUCACCUGGGAAGUACGGUCGCAAGGCUGAAACUUAAAGGAAUUGGCGGGGGAGC